rnacentral:rRNA from 1 species
GGACCCGCACAAGCGGUGGAGCAUGUGGUUUAAUUCGAUGCAACGCGAAAAACCUUACCUACACUUGACAUACUUCGAAUUUUCUAGAGAUAGAUUAGUGCCUUCGGGAGCGAAGAUACAGGUGCUGCAUGGCUGUCGUCAGCUCGUGUCGUGAGAUGUUGGGUUAAGUCCUAUAACGAGCGCAACCCUUACCCUUAUUUGCCAGCGGUUAGGCCGGGAACUAUAAGGGAACUGCCGGUAAUAAGCCGGAGGAAGGUGGGGACGACGUCAAGUCAUCAUGGCCCUUACGUGUAGGGCUACACACGUGCUACAAUGGGAGAUACAGACGGUUGCUAAAGCGCGAGCUGGAGCCAAUCCGACAAAGUCUCUCGUAGUCCGAAUUGCAGUCUGGAACUCGACUGCAUGAAGCCGGAAUCGCUAGUAA